ensembl:lncRNA
CCUCAUGGAGGCAUACGAGGAGGUAAAAGAUAUAAUUAAGAAGAAAGGCAACACCGCCACAGUGAUAAAGCAAAGAGAAAAAGCGUGGCAAAGUAUUGCAGACCGCCUGAAUGCAUUAAACAUGAACGGGCCAAAACGGACAUGGCAGCAGGUCAAAAUCAAAUACAAGAACAUUCUGCAGAAUGCAGUGAAAAAGAAUACCCACAGACAAGGCACGGGUGGUGGGUCACCAAAGGCUGACCUUACCCCAGCAGAGGACAUGGCCUUGGAGCUAAAUAAAGGCAGGCCCGUCUUAGAGGGGAUCCCUGGG